CAAAAAUAAAUGUAAAAAAAAAAAAAAAUUAAAAAAAAAAAAGGAGCAGGAAACUAAGUGACAGGUAUUAUAAAUUGAGAGGAUAGCGUGUUUCAAAAAGAAGGACCGGUCAACUAUGUCAAAUGAGAGGUUGAAUAAGAUGAGAGAAAAAUGUCCAGUGCGUUUAGCAAUCUGGGGGGAGUUAGCACACUUAAUUAUUUUGAGGUGUCUCAAAGGAGCGGCAGCUUCAGAAACUAGUGGGAAGCCCCUUGAGGAGGGAGCAGGUGACUAGUAUGAGAAGUUGGGCCAUAACAAGUACUGGAGAAAGUAGGCAGCUGGGGAGCUGGGGUGUUGUCUUCAAGGUGGGACCUGAGCGAGUUUGCACACUGAGGAGGAGGAGCAGAGGAGGAGUCACGGGGCCAGAGAGCAAGGGAAGGAGGGAGGCUGGGAGGCAGCUCUGGGAAGGCCAGAAGCCAGUACAGGUGCGGGUAAGCCCCUGACAGCACGACGACUUAGAAAACGGAAUGUGGCUGCAGACACACAUGGUUUCUGAGACUGGGUGGUAAAGAACCCCUGAUGCUUUUCCUUUCCUGAAUGAAAUACGAGGUGAAGCCGUCAACUGAGAGUGAGGAGAGGAGAGGAAUAUAGGAAGUAGGGGGAAAGGUGCAGAGAGCAAGGAGGCCAAGUUCCUAGGAGGCCAAGUGAUUCACCCCCUGGAAUUUUGUGGUGGAGAACUCAGGAGUGAAACCAGUCGGACUGGUUUUUCCAUGUUCUCUGGCAAAUGUGGCUGCUUGAAUUCAGGCUAGUCCAAAGUGGAUAUGCUUUUCGUUCACAAGGGUUUUACCAGAUGAGAAAGAGGGGCAAAGGAACUUGUGUUUGUGAGCGAGUGAUUGUAACGAUGGGCUAGUAAACGGUGUACAGAUUUCAGUAAGGGUCUAUAGGUGCUGAGCUCUAAGGACAGGAAAUGACUGCGAGAAUAGCCAGCUAGGACGUGAGGUUUCAGAGGUCAUACUGAUAUUGAUUGGUGAGGUUUGGGGGGAUGGCGGGGGUUCGGAGCCAAUGACCAAGAAAGAACUCUUGAGAUGUUUUUGGUGCAACAGGGUGAUUUUAUUAAAGCACAGGGACGGGACUUGUGGGCCGAAAGAGCUGCGCGGGGGUCCUGAGGAGUGACUGGUUACACACUUUGGAGUUGGGGGAGGUAAAUCAAAGGGAGGCCUCCAGAAGGACUUUCAUAUGCUAAAGAGGACUCCUGAGAUACCAGAGGCCUAGCUGUCGUCCGGCUAAGGUUGUUUUUCCCUCUAGCAAAGCAUUAACAUUAAGACGUAGGUUGUUUCCGGAGGAACGUUUUACUCUGCCUGCCUCAAGAAUUUGUCAAUGGGCUGCAGGUUAUGAGGAAAUUUAAUUUUGUCUACAUUUCUUUCUGCCUUUGUUUCCCACAUCAUUGAUGAUGGCAAAGUCUACAGGAUGAACCAAGGAGUAGGUGACCAAGGUGGGCGACAGGAAAAGGCCACUCAGUGAGUGGGUCAAGGAAUUAAGAAGCCAGAAAACAGACAUCCUAGUUUUCAUGAGAGCACAGGACCAUAAAAAUGAGCACAGAAACUGAAACCGUGCAAAGUGAUCGUAAUAGUCAAAGAGAAAAAUCACAAUUGUCUGAUGACUUAAAAAAACUUUUGGUGAAACAUUUAAAACUCCCUUACUGCCACCUGUAAACGUAUAGAGAAUUUUAUUAAUUGUAAAACUAAUAUUUAUUUAGUACCCUGUAUUUUAAAAUGAGAAACACUGGGAAUUAGUCAUCAAGACUGCUUUGAAUGGUGCUUGCCUUCUCAUAAUAUCACUUCCCUUUUCUGGGCCUUGGUAAGUUUCCCUGCUCCUCACGUUUUGCAUUUUCAGUGUUGUAUAGUAUCUCUAAGUGUCUUUAAUGUGAAGUCGUUCACCAAUGUCACCUCCUUGAGAUAUUUGCAUCCUUUGUCUGGACCACCUGCUCUACCUGACCCGUGGAAUCUGGGCGCAGGCUUCCCAGCAGUGCCCUGGCCUGGGCCCGCAGCUUAACCAGAGAGCUCAGCGCUAAUCGAGCCUUGUGCACUUCCAAGAUGAUGAAACCGGACUUCACUGCACUCAUUAUUGUAAAACAUCACGUGGGUCUGUCACCGGGAGACAAGGAGGCAAUACGAGAACCUGCUUUGCUGUGUCGUGACCUGAGCCGCUGGAUAACUGAAGUGCGGUGACGAGUCACCGACAGGCUUUGCAGGGAGGUUGAUGAUGCAGGUCAGUCAUUAACACAGCGACCUGUGGCCUGACAACUGGCUGUGAAGUUUGUAGCCGAUGCAGUCACGCAGUUAACACAGCAACAUAGCGUGGUAACUGAAAUCUGACCCCCGUUAUUGGGGGACCGGUGCUGUUUAACUAAACUGUGGCGAUUAAAAUUUGUGCAUACUAGAA